rnacentral:misc_RNA from 1 species
GAUGAAGAACGUAGCGAAAUGCGAUAAGUAAUGUGAAUUGCAGAAUUCAGUGAAUCAUCGAAUCUUUGAACGCACAUUGCGCCCCUUGGUAUUCCGGGGGGCAUGCCUGUUCGAGCGUCAUUUCAACCCUCAAGCUCUGCUUGGUAUUGGGCUCCGUCCUCCUCGGACGCGCCUCAAAGACCUCGGCGGUGGCGUCUUGCCUCAAGCGUAGUAGAAACACCUCGCUUUGGAGUGCAUGGCGUCGCCCGCCGGACGAAGCCUUUUGUAUUUUCUCAAAGGUUGACCUCGGAUCAGGUAGGGAUACCCGCUGAACUUAAGCAUAUCAAUAAGCGGAGGA